GGGCAAAAAGAGCGGUGCAAAUAGUUGAUCCUAUAAAUUGUAGAAGCGCGGGAAGUGAAACUGAACUGUUGAGAGAAACUUGGCGGUGGUUGCAGUCACAGACUCACCGUCGCUGCUUCCAAUGGAAGAUUCCGGAACGAUUCUCGCUCACAUUUCAUCUCUGAAGGAAAUGCUCGACCAGGUCAAUGAAGAAAUCGAGGCGAAUAUUCAGAUCACGCGCGAGAUCGAGUCCAGUAUCGUAAAAUGCGAGGAAAUUGAGAGCGAUUUGGCAGCAAAGGAAGCUGAAUUGAUCAAGAUGAGUUGCAUGUUGCAGUUCGACACCGUUGGAUACGGCGCCGUUGCUGCUGAUUUCAGGGCUUCCGUGAGUGCCUUGGAGAAGGAGUUAUGUUGUCUUAAAAUGAAGCGGGAUGAGAUCGUAAAUUUAAUGGACGUAAAACGGGAAAAGUUUACAGCACUAUGCCUAGAAUUUCAGAUAGAAAUUGACAAGAGAGAAAAUUGUAAAGUGAGGACUUUGCUGUCUGAGAAAGAUUCCCUUGAAAAUGAAAUCCAACUUUUGGAAAAGAAAAAUAAUGUGCUGAAAAAUUCAGUAUUGGCAUUUGUAGAGGAAAUUCUUGAAGAUCUUCAUAGUUCAAACUCAGCAUUAGAAGAUGAGAUACAGAGGAAGAACUGGGAGAAUGAGAAAUUGCUGAAUGAUAUCAAUGAUUUGAAGAGUACAUUGCUUUCAGCAAUUGGCACAACCAGUGAUGAUCUACUGGUGUCAACGUAUAUCCAUGGUCCAAGUUCCUUUUCUUUUUGUCAACAUCCAAGCAAAUUGUCUUAUGGAGAAAACGUGCUUCCAAAAAUAGGCUGAGGCAUUAGCCUCAUGAUAUGUCAUUUUCAUCCAUGUGACCUCAAAGGGGGUCCGGCUCCAAAUCAUAGAAUCAUGGACACAUUUCAGCUUAUUGACCCUCUAGUCUACGCAAUAGUGUGUGUUGUGUCGCUAUCCACUUCAGGUUGGGGGGCCAUGAUUUCUUGCAUUGCUUCAGCCUCACUGACCAGUAAGUAACAAAACUUGAGCUUUCACCAUUCAGCAACGGCCAACCCGCGCUGCAAAUUACAAGUCCAUGCACCACCACACACUUCAAGCAAAGGUAUUCUUCUCUCAAUUUUUGGAAGAACAAGUCUAUUGUGUUGGAGUACUAUUUUUAACGAUUUGUAUCCUUCAAGAGAAAUCUUGUUCGAGCCGAUAAUAUUCACAUUCUGAUGAGAUGGAGAUUUUUUUUCCAUGUACAAAAUUCGAACUCGUUGAUCACUAAGGUACCACUUGAACCAACUGUUGGUUCCCUGAAGUUGGAAUUUUGGAAAUCCAACAUUUUUUUUUGAUUCAUUUACUUGCACAUUUUCUCGUUUUCACUAAUUUUCUUUUACAAUCUCUAUUAUAUUUUUCUAUCAAAUUUACUAUCAUAUCUCAAUUAUAUUCCAUGUCUU